AUUGAACGCUGGCGGCAGGCCUAACACAUGCAAGUCGAGCGAGCGGCGGACGGGUGAGUAAUGUCUGGGAAACUGCCUGAUGGAGGGGGAUAACUACUGGAAACGGUAGCUAAUACCGCAUACCAUCAGAUGUGCCCAGAUGGGCUUAGCUGGUAGGUGGGGUAACGGCCCACCUAGGCGACGAUCCCUACCUGGUCGUAGAGGAUGACCAGCCACACUGGAACUGAGACACGGUCCGGACUCCUACGGGAGGUGGCAGUGGGGAAUAUUGCACAAUGGGCGCGAGCCUGAUGCCGCCAUGCCGCGUGUGUGAAGAAGGCCUUCGGGUUGUAAAGCACUUUCAGCGUGGAGGCGUUACCCGCAGAAGAGGCACCGGCUAACUCCGUGCCAGCAGCCGCGGUAAUAC
rnacentral:rRNA from 1 species